rnacentral:rRNA from 1 species
UACGGGGGGGGGCAAGCGUUGUUCGGAAUUACUGGGCGUAAAGCGCGUGUAGGCGGCUUUGCAAGUCGGGUGUGAAAGCCCUCAGCUCAACUGAGGAAGUGCGCCCGAAACUGCAUGGCUUGAAUACCGGAGAGGAUGGCGGAAUUCCCCAAGUAGAGGUGAAAUUCGUAGAUAUGGGGAGGAACACCGGUGGCGAAGGCGGCCAUCUGGACGGCUAUUGACGCUGAGACGCGAAAGCAUGGGGAGCAAACAGG